UUUUGGAGUGAAGUCAGCCAAAUCUGUG
rnacentral:sRNA from 1 species